rnacentral:rRNA from 1 species
UACGUAGGGUGCAAGCGUUGUCCGGAAUUAUUGGGCGUAAAGAGCUCGUAGGCGGUCUGUCGCGUCGGAUGUGAAAACCCAGGGCUCAACCCUGGGCCUGCAUUCGAUACGGGCAGACUAGAGUUCGGUAGGGGAGACUGGAAUUCCUGGUGUAGCGGUGAAAUGCGCAGAUAUCAGGAGGAACACCGGUGGCGAAGGCGGCACUCUGGGCCGAUACUGACACUGAGGAGCGAAAGCGUGGGGAGCGAACAGG